rnacentral:lncRNA from 1 species
ACUCUGGGCUAGAUAGAUGGUGCUGAAGACCUUUCCCAGCUGAGGCUCUUCGAAGCAGCUCCUCAGCAGAGAAGAGGAAGACAGGAAAGCAAAAGCGUGUCUACCCUGUUCUGUCCCAUGCUGCACUGUCAAGGACAAAGGUGUAAAAAGACAACACCUUCUGUGGACUAUGCAGUGUAUCAGGGAGGCACUGGGACAAAAUGGGGAUGCAAGGGGGCCGUUAGGACAAGACUCUGCGUGCAUGGCUCGGAAGGAGUGUUUGGUGCUUGUGCCUGGUUCAGGCACAGAGGAACCUUUGAAAAACUUGGCUACUGGGGGCUACCUGGACAGCUUAUGAUGGUGCAGGUAUGGAACCUCCAGCCUCAUCCUCCCAUGAUCCAGUGGGCUGUGCGUACCUGUCAGGUGACAUCUUAGAAAGGCUAUGACCCCUUAAGAAUCCUGUUCUGCAUUGGAAUGAGGAUAGAAAGUCUCUGGAGCUUAUAUGCUACCAUUUCCCCUUUGGGCAUCAACAUGGAGAUGGAGGAAGUGUGUGGCUUUUCCAGCCGAAGCACCCUGGAGGGUCAACUCAAAGCUGGACACCCCAUGGUUUCUCCUGGCCAUACCCAUCCGCAGCCUGCCAUGCAGGAGGCUGGGGCUGGGAUGGGGCAAAUUUUCUUACAGGACUGGUGACUGGGGGAUGGGGCAAUGCACAACUGACACAGGGAAAGGCUGAACAUAGGAGGAAUGGGAUUCCAUCAGAGCAAUUUGCCCAGCUUUUUUCUUUAUUUCCUUAUACAUUUUUAAAGCAUAUGUAUUGCUAGUAAAAGUGCUGGCUGGACAAAGCUCA